rnacentral:rRNA from 1 species
AUUGAACGCUGGCGGCAGGCCUAACACAUGCAAGUCGAGCGGGGUUUUCGGACCUAGCGGCGGACGGGUGAGUAAUGCGUAGGAAGCUGCCCGAUAGAGGGGGAUACCAGUUGGAAACGACUGUUAAUACCGCAUAAUGUCUACGGACCAAAGUGUGGGACCUUCGGGCCACAUGCUAUCGGAUGCGCCUACGUGGGAUUAGCUAGUUGGUGAGGUAAUGGCUCACCAAGGCGACGAUCUCUAGCUGGUUUGAGAGGAUGAUCAGCCACACUGGAACUGAGACACGGUCCAGACUCCUACGGGAGGCAGCAGUGGGAAUAUUGGACAAUGGGCGCAAGCCGUGAUCCAGCCAUGACCGCGUGUGUGAAGAAGGCCUCGGUUGUAAGU